rnacentral:tRNA from 1 species
GGCAGUUUAGCUUAAUGGUAAAGCACUUGACCAAUAAUCACUGGGAUGUGAGUUUGAGUCUCAUGGCUAGCU